GACCACCGUCAACUAGGCAGUCUGCUGUUGACCAACACGUCCUUCUGAGUCGGUAAUUCCAAGUCUGCUGGCAGAGCCUGGAAGCCAUAACAAGCAAGUGUGAGAAGUAAUUGAAGGGAAGAAUAAAAUUACACUCUUCUAGCUCCAGGAUCAUGUUUGCGUCCUACAAAAGACUAAGCUCUACCUUGCAAAGAGAAAUCCUCGGAACUCCUUGAGCUCUGAGAAUUGGGAGCAACCUCAGGGAACCAGGUGCUCCAGGUGAGAUUGCUCACAUUCUUCUGCAUGCUCCUGGGGAUGUCCCAACUUGGCCACUCCUCUCUGCCAAUGUUCAGCCAAUAUGUUCAGCCACCUCCUCAGCCGCUUUUGCCUGGAGACAAGCAGGACAAAUCAGACAAGGUCUCUGAGCUCUGUUUCCAAGAAUCCACCCUGAAACAGCAAACUGUAACUAGAUGGAAGGAUAAAAAUAAACAUGGCAAAGCAUCCACCCAUCUUUAAAACUUCUGCCUAGAGGUGGAAUCCAUCACUAUGCCUGAUGUCAGUGGAAGAGAAAAGUGAGACCUCCGUGUCCUGGAAAUGCAGCACUUACUGACUAACUCUUCUGCUGGAAAAGAAACAAAAAAUGAGCAAGCUGAACAAAUAUUAUAAGAAAAUAUUUUGAACCAACACUGAACCAGUCAAGCGGUGAUGAUAUGAGAGGUCAUGACCCAGAGAGGAAGGAAGGAGCAGAGAUGUGUCUGCAAACUCAAAAGCUGCUUUUCCCAAGGAGGGAUUUUGUUUACCCAAAAGCUGUGCAACGGAGGCUAAAAAGGCUGAGUAGAGUGCUUGCUAAUCUCCUGGGUCUGUGAUGACAAAAGACGAAAUUCAGAGCCUGUUAAAGAAGAAACCUGUGAAAUAUGCCAGAAUUAAAGUUAGCAUUCUUGAAGAACUGCACAUUAACAGUAUGUGUAAAUGAAAAAUAGAACAGCUCCCACAAAGAAUUAAGCCCAGAAUAAAAGUAUGUUUUAUGUGUGGAACAAAAUUAAAUAUAUUAAAGUGAAAUUUGACAGAAUACAAAAGAGAUAUUGUGAAAGCCCUAAUAGCUAUUGAAACAUUUUACACAUGUAUCGCAUACGUUAAUAGAAGCAGCCAAAAAUAUC